rnacentral:rRNA from 1 species
CCUACGGGAGGCAGCAGUGGGGAAUAUUGGACAAUGGGGGGAACCCUGAUCCAGCCAUGCCGCGUGUGUGAAGAAGGCCCUCGGGUUGUAAAGCACUUUCAGUGAGGAAGAACGCCUGGUGGUUAAUACCCAUCAGGAAAGACAUCACUCACAGAAGAAGCACCGGCUAACUCCGUGCCAGCAGCCGCGGUAAUACGGAGGGUGCGAGCGUUAAUCGGAAUUACUGGGCGUAAAGCGCGCGUAGGUGGCUUGAUAAGCCGGUUGUGAAAGCCCCGGGCUCAACCUGGGAACGGCAUCCGGAACUGUCAAGCUAGAGUGCAGGAGAGGAAGGUAGAAUUCCCGGUGUAGCGGUGAAAUGCGUAGAGAUCGGGAGGAAUACCAGUGGCGAAGGCGGCCUUCUGGACUGACACUGACACUGAGGUGCGAAAGCGUGGAUAGCAAACAGGAUUAGAUACCCGUGUAGUC